rnacentral:rRNA from 1 species
UCCUACGGGGCGCAGCAGUGGGGAAUAUUGCACAAUGGGGGAAACCCUGAUGCAGCGACGCCGCGUGAGUGAAGAAGUAUUUCGGUACGUAAAGCUCUAUCAGCAGGGAAGAAAAAAAGUCCUUUGGACUUUGGACGGUACCUGACCAAGAAGCCCCGGCUAACUACGUGCCAGCAGCCGCGGUAAUACGUAGGGGGCAAGCGUUAUCCGGAUUUACUGGGUGUAAAGGGGGCGCAGACGGCGAUGCAAGCCAGGAGUGAAAGCCCGGGGCCCAACCCCGGGACUGCUCUUGGACCUGCGUGGCU